GCCAGUGUGGCGUAGUGGUUUGAGUGCUGGACUAUGACUCUGGAGACUAGGAUUUGAAUCCCGGCUCGGCCA